CUAAUUACAUUAAAACUCCCACCCCCACCAUACCCCUACCCCGCCGCCGACACUCCACCCCCACCACACCCCUAUCCCGCCGCCGACGCUCCAUCCCCACCACACCCCUCCCCGCCACUGACGCCCCAUCCCCACCACUGCUUGUCCUCCGUCGCCGCCGUUGCUGUCCGCCGCCAGCGAAGGACAAGAACAUUACAAUAGAUUAAGGCCACUGAGCUACCGAGGAGCAGAUGUUUUUGUCCUAGCAUUCUUCUUGGUUAGUCGUGCGAGCUAUAAGAACAUACUUAAAAAGUGGAUUCCUGAGCUUCAGCAUUAUGCUCCUGCAAUUCCGGUGGUAUUAGCUGGCACAAAACUUGGUAAGUACUUAACAUGUUUCCUGAUUUUGCAAUUAUAACAAAUGAUGAAACUGUGGAUUCAGGGAUUGCUUAAAAAUGAAACAUAAUGUUGGUAUGAUCAAGCAUGCACAUAUAAGUAAAAUAUGGUCAUAACUUAGAAAGAUCACAGUUAGAACUGAAUGUACAGAACUUAGAUAUAAUAAUUGCAGUUAUUUCUAAUGAUUUCUCAAAAGCGUAUCCAUAGUUCAUCUUUUAUAGGUUGAAAAAUAAAAAGCAACUUUCAAGCUAAAUAUGCAGCUCCGGUGUUUCAAGACUCUAGCUCU